UACGUAGGAGGCAAGCGUUGUCCGGAAUUACUGGGCGUAAAGCGCGUGUAGGUGGUGGGACAAGUCUGCUGUGAAAGCGCCUGGCUUAACCGGGCGAGGUCGGCGGAAACUGUCCGACUCGAGGACGGUAGAGGGGGGGGGUGGAAUUCCCGUGUAGUGGUGAAAUGCGUAGAGAUCGGGAGGAACACCUGUGGCGAAGGCGGCCCCCUGGGCCGGCCCUGACACUGAGACGCGAAGGCGUGGGGAGCGAACGGG
rnacentral:rRNA from 1 species